rnacentral:rRNA from 1 species
AUUCGAUCGCUUACACUAUCUAUUGUCACUUCAACCUCGAAUCAGA